CCUACGGGAGGCAGCAGUGGGGAAUAUUGGGCAAUGGGCGCAAGCCUGACCCAGCAACGCCGCGUGAAGGAAGAAGGCUCUCGGGUUGUAAACUUCUUUUAUCAGGGACGAAGCAAGUGACGGUACCUGAUGAAUAAGCCACGGCUAACUACGUGCCAGCAGCCGCGGUAAUACGUAGGUGGCAAGCGUUAUCCGGAUUUACUGGGUGUAAAGGGCGUGUAGGCGGGAAAGCAAGUCAGAUGUGAAAACCAUGGGCUCAACCUGUGGCCUGCAUUUGAAACUGUUUUUCUUGAGUACUGGAGAGGCGGACGGAAUUCCAAGUGUAGCGGUGAAAUGCGUAGAUAUGUGGAGGAACACCAGUGGCGAAGGCGGUCCGCUGGACAGCAACUGACGCUGAGGUGCGAAAGCGUGGGGAGCAAACAGGAUUAGAUACCCGUGUAGUC
rnacentral:rRNA from 1 species